AGCGAACGCUGGCGGCAGGCCUAACACAUGCAAGUCGAACGGCUCUUCGGAGCAGUGGCGGACGGGUGAGUAACGCGUGGGAACGUGCCCUUUGGUUCGGAACAACACAGGGAAACUUGUGCUAAUACCGGAUGUGCCCUUCGGGGGAAAGAUUUAUCGCCAUUGGAGCGGCCCGCGUUGGAUUAGGUAGUUGGUGGGGUAAAGGCCCACCAAGCCUACGAUCCAUAGCUGGUCUGAGAGGAUGAUCAGCCACACUGGGACUGAGACACGGCCCAGACUCCUACGGGAGGCAGCAGUGGGGAAUCUUGCGCAAUGGGCGAAAGCCUGACGCAGCCAUGCCGCGUGAAUGAUGAAGGUCUUAGGAUUGUAAAAUUCUUUCACCGGGGAAGAUAAUGACGGUACCCGGAGAAGAAGCCCCGGCUAACUUCGUGCCAGCCGCCGCCGUAA
rnacentral:rRNA from 1 species